GGAAGCGCUCGGUACGCUGGUGCGGCCCUCGGUCUUCAAAACCGAUGGGGGCCUGGUGAAAGCCAGGCCCCGGCAGGUUCGAUCCCUGUGCGCUUCCGCCA
rnacentral:tRNA from 2 species